GGCUUUCCUUUGGCGUUGCUCCAGGAAGAAGAGGCGAGCUAAAUGGAUCCAAAAACACGAUGGAGGCACCGAAAGACAAGCCAGUGGUAAGUUUCCUUUCUCUGCUUUUCCUUCAUGUUUCUUAAAUGUCGUCCUGGCUCUGUCUUUAGAAACAACAGGGAAGCAGCAGCUGGAGCUUUAACUAGUCGAUCCAGCUUAUUAUUGAAACGAUUAGUUAUCAACAAGAAAGUGGAGGUGGUGGACAAAAAAUAAAGAUUUUCCCGCUGUUGGUGGUCUGUCGGCAUCGAGUGGUAUGUUAGCUGGAGUUUGCUAAUGACUCUGAUUCGUGGACCCUCACAUUGUUUCGCAGUUGUGCUUGGAAGUUUUUAUUCAAGGCUUUGGUUGUUGGAAGGAGGAAUGAAGCCUUUGUGUUGGUGGUUCGAUCAAGUCACAACACUGCUCUUGGCUUGAGUUUUCGCACAAAUUCUCGCGUCUUGGACAUGUGCCACUGUCGUGUGGGUCCUCGUCCUCAUUUCGCAGCAAAGCAGCGCAUGUUCGUCCCGCAACCAACACCACGCUUUGACGAUGCGCUUUCACACUUUAUCCAUUGGCUCGGGUCUCUUAGAUCCAACGCGAGAAUAUGGUACGAAUGGCAAGCUGUUCUUCUCUUCUCUUUUCUAAUGGCAAGCUAUUUUCGUCUCUCUUUCAGUACUCGAUCUUUCACUGGAGUAACUUUUUUCCGCGUUUCGCCUCGACAUGGAAUGAUUAAGAAGACUUGGUGAGCUCUUCAGUUUUUUAUUUUAUUUUGUUCGAUCUGUUUCCAGAUUUUUGAGCUUCCAACGUGAUCUUUCCCUGGAAUAUCUUAUGCUGCCAGAGGCUAUUUUUUCUUGUUUCCGGUCACAAGCACCGAAGCAAAGCAUCAUUUGUUUUUUCUUGCUUGCCAGCUACACAGCAACAGUGACACGGAGAAGUAAAGCUGCGCUAUCGUGUGCUCCAGCCAGGACUAAGAUCCAAAACUUUUUAUACUUUAUAAUCGAAAUAGACGCAAAUAGACACCAAAGAUUGGAAAUAUAAGUUGCAACCUAACUUGAACUUCUGCAAUCUGAGGUGUAGCCUUGAACAUUCUC
rnacentral:lncRNA from 1 species